rnacentral:rRNA from 1 species
UACGAAGGGUGCAAGCGUUAAUCGGAAUUACUGGGCGUAAAGCGUGCGCAGGCGGCGCGUUAAGACAGGUGUGAAAGCCCCGAGCUUAACUUGGGAAUUGCGCUUGUGACUGGCGUGCUGGAGUGUGGCAGAGGGAGGUGGAAUUCCACGUGUAGCAGUGAAAUGCGUAGAGAUGUGGAGGAACACCGAUGGCGAAGGCAGCCUCCUGGGCCAGCACUGACGCUCAUGCACGAAAGCGUGGGGAGCAAACAGGA